GAUUAAUGUCGUCACAAAUGUUCCGACGUACAACAUAACAAUGGAUGAUAUCCCAGAAACGUCAGUCUAUGAAGUCAAAAAAAUUGCGAUGUACGAUGUCACCGCGAUAUCAUCACACACUCACAAAGGUUUUGAUUUUUUCCAGCAUGGCUUACAGAAUAUCUUUUGUAAUUAUCGGAAAAUCUGGCAAACCAGAAAUUAAUAUUUCCCCACAAAUGACGCGCGAUAAAUUCCCGGCCAUGCCGGGUACACCGGCUACACAGUAUUGAACCCUAUAGGGAAGGGGUGUAGCCCCCGUAAAACUCGUUCUUACGGAGGGUCAUUUAAGGACAGUACAAUAUUGAAAGGGUCGAAUUAAAGCGCAAACCUAUAUUGCGAGAGCCAUAACUAAAUUCAACUCGAUUCCAUUACCAAUUGUUUAUACUUUACCAUAAUAGUUGUUUCACGAGAAAUUAAAAUUUGAAAAAUUAGGAACUAAUAGGUAAAUUAAGUUUAUUUAACUUUUUAUUCGAAUUUACAAGAUUUUAUUAUAUUAUCCUGUUUACAAAUUAUCACUAUAUAUUUUUUGGAAAAUAAUGGUUGACAAAUACGCCGAUCAGCUAACCGCGCUCGAAAAGUACCAGAGACAGUGCGGCUAAUGUACGCUGUGUAUAUACUGUGUUUGAUACGCGUACUCUAAGGAAUCAGUCAUAUCGAAAACGAUCGAUGUCACAUGGGUCAAAACUAUAUAUUAUGUAAAUAUCCGAUUUAAAUAAAAUUCGUAUAUAUUGUUAGGUUCCGCUAGGGCGGAGGUGUCAAACUGGCGGCCCUCGAUGUGAUUUUUUUGUGGCCCCCCAACGGUCUUAACUAAAAUGAAAAUAAAAACAGUAGGCUAUGUUACG
rnacentral:lncRNA from 1 species